UAGAUAAAUGUUCGCAGAUUCUAAACAAUUUUCGUUAACUUUAAAGAUACUAAACAAUUUGUCUACGAAUGUAACUUUUUCAUAAAAAUUAAAAAUAACGCACAAAAAAUAUAUAAUGCGAACGAGACCUACGAAAUUGGAUCCCAUGUUGAUAUGUUCUGAAAAAAGAUAUGCAAAAAGUUACCAUGCCUAGGCUAAUUAAGUUAUCAGCUCUGAUGUGUGUAUAUUAUCAUGCUACAUACACAUGAGUUACCGUGGUACAUUUUCAACAACGUUUUUUUCCAGGACAAACUUACUGCGGUAUUUGUGCUAUUUACACAUAAGUUAGCGGAGUAUGUUUUUAAAGUUAUCAUAGUGUUUAUACGUGAGUUAUCAAGUUUGCGGUGUCUAUAUUACCAUGCUAUUUACAUGGAACAUACCAGGUGGGAAGGUAUGUUUUAAAACAAUUUCCUCCCCUCCCCCCAUCCUCGGUCAAAGUUACCGUGAUGUUUGUGCGUGAGUUAUCACGUAUAUGUUGUAUAUAGUACCAUGCUAUUUACAUGAAGUUAUCAUCAAAGUUACCGUGGUGUUUGUGUGUGAGUUAUCAACUAUGUUGUGCAUAUGUUACCAUGCUAUUAAUAAAAAUUUAUUGUGGGCAUGUUUUGAACAAUUUUUUUUGCCCCGGACAAAAGUUACCAUAGAGUUUGUGCGUAAGUGAGGUUUGCGAUUCGUAUAUUACAAUGUAUUUACCACAGAAGUUAGCGGGACAUAUUUUCAGUAACUUUUUACCUCGAGUUAAAAAGUUACCAUGAUGUUUGUACCUGAGUCAUCAGGGCUACGGUGCAUAUUUCCACCGAAGUUACUAGGUGUAUGAUUUUAACAACUAUAUUUUUCUCCGGUUCAAAGUUACCAUGGUGUUUGUAUGUAAGUUAUCAUGCCCGUGGUGUCUAUAUUGUCAUCUAUUUACACAUAAGUGGUUGGGGUAUGUUUUCAAUGAAAAAGAUCCCCAUAUCCAAGUUAUCGGGGGUGUUUGUACCUAAAUUAUCACAUAUGUGGUGCAUAUAUUAUCGUCCUAUUUACACAAAAGUUACCAGAUAUGUGUCAAUAACUAUUUUCCCAGGUCAAAAUUAUCGCGGUGUUUGUACCCAAGUUAUUAGAUCUGCGGUGUAUAAACUACCAUGCCAUUUACAAGAAAGUUACCCAUAGAAAGGACCCACCCCAGCAGAUGACAUGCGGACACCAACAACCCAGACACUCGUAGGGAGGACCCACCCCGCAGACAAGCCCCAAUCGACCAGGAGCCUCUCCUCCCAAGGCAGCUGACAAUUUUAGUGGAUGGGCCGUAAAAAUCCAACAUGAAAAAAUGAAAAAAAAAUGGUUUUCAUCAUUGUGGUAACAAAAUGCAAGGUCAAAUAUCUACUUUUCAUGAGUUGGACAACAAAUGGUGUUGCCUUGGAUGGUUGUUGGGCCUUGCAGUUUCACUUGAUGGAGUAGAAGAACAUGAUUUGAAUCCAUCUCAUGCCCCCUCUUUAUGCAACCAGCCACCAGGUGCACUUGGGUAGCCCACAUCCUCAACUAGCCAACCACAUGUGCGCCAUGGAGUGCCAAAAGUUAAACUGCUACGCGAGUCGCAAAUCGGAGAGGCAUAAAUUAAAAUGAACGGUUUAAAAGUAGUUUGGAUAUAUCGCUAAAUUGAGGUGGUUUGGAUUCUAGCUUUUAAAUAUGUAGAUUUGGUUCAAUCUAAACAAGAAUGGAACAUGAGAGUGAUGUUUUUUAGGUGAUACGUGUGAUUGUUAGUGAGUCAAAUUCGUGUGUAUUUUUCUGUGGUUUAUAGAUACAACGACAGAAUUUUGAAUACAUAAGAGAUAACUUCCUGUUGCAUAUUAAUACACUACUGGGUGGGUUGGUCGCUGUGCUAAUUAUUUUUGCUAGCGAACAUGCGGGCGGGAUAAUCGCUCGGGUUUUAGCUUUCUCGAUAAAUAAGACGAUUUUGUGUUGUUUCUCUCUCUCAUGAUUGAAAAUCAUACUUUCCUUGUGAUUGAAAAUUCUCUGGCUUGAUGCCUAAAUUUUCUAUCUCUUGUCAUUCAUAAAGUCCCAACAGGUACCCUUCCCUGGCCGGCAGCGGCACCUAUCACCGGCAGGCGGCAUCCAAGAUCGCCCCGCUUGCACCAACGCGCCGCAAAUCCUCCAUCCCUACAUCCGACUAGGGGAUGGCCGACGCGGCCCUCAGGGCAGCACAAUGGGUGGUGGGCAAGGCGGUAGCCCCUGUUGUCGAUGGCGUGCUGGAGACUUGGGCGGCCACCAGGAACUUUCAGCCCAACAUCGAGGCCCUGAGCAUGGAACUGUUGCUCGUGAAGGCCACCCUUGAACAAGCUGCCCUCAAGGAGCUCGGCGGGCCGGCCAUGGAGGUGCUGCUGCAGAAGCUGCGGGACUCGGCACACAAUGCUGAGGACUUGCUGGAUGAGUUGGACUACUUCCGCAUCCAUGAUGUGCUUCACGGCACUCAUGAUGCUGCCGACGUGCACGGCAAAGGCGGCGUCCAGGAUCUCGCCCUAACUGUUCGCCACACAGCCAAAGCUCUUGGCAAAAACCUGCCAUCUUUGCCCGCGUACGGUCGGAAGAGGUCACGAGGUGAUUCCUCCUCAACACCAAAUGCCAAUCAGGUUGAUGAGGAAGUCAGCAGACACAUGCCCAAGCUCGGUAAAAUCUUCCCUGGCUCAUCUUCCCCACAUCCACAUGUUCGUGCUGAUGAAGAUUGUGGCAAUGCGCAAGAAACACCAAUGCCUGAGUUUAAUAAGGCUGAGUUCUCUCAAAGGAUGAAGGGCAUUGUAGAGAAACUGCAGACUGUCCGUAAGGAUGUUAACAACAUUCUGCAAGUUUGUGGCCCUAGAAUUGUCCUAGACACUGCCCACCAUCGUCCCACCACCACACCUCAGAGUGCUGAGCCAAAAUUGUACGGAAGGGACCAUGUCAUGAAUAGCAUCAUACAUGAUAUCACCAAGGGUCAAUACUGUGACAAGGGUCUAACCGUGCUUCCAGUUGUUGGCCAAGGUGGAAUGGGGAAGACAACUCUGAUACAACACAUAUAUAACAACCAACAAGCGCAGAAUCAUUUUCCGGUCAGGAUUUGGAUAUGUGUGUCAUUCAGUUUCAACCUGGGUAAAACACUAGAAGAGAUUAUAAGAUAUACACCUGCAGUUGAAGGUGAAAAUGGGUGUAGUACAACACAAGAGCUGAUUGAACAAAGAUUGAAACACAAAAGGUUCUUACUUAUAUUGGAUGAUAUAUGGCAGUUUACUGAUGUGGAUGACUGGAAAAAACUAUUAUUGAUACUUGGCAAGUCACAAGAAAAGGGUUCCAUGAUUCUAGUCACAACUCGGCAAAAGGAAAUAGCAGACCAGGUUAAGAAAACUGUUGAGCCAAUAGAACUGAAUGGUUUAGAACCUAGAGAGUUUAAGAAGUUAUUCCUUUUAUAUGUCUUUGAUGCUGAGCAAUACCCAGAGAAAAAACUUCAUUUGCUUGACACUGGAGAUAAGAUAAUGGAAAAACUAAAGGGCUCCCCUCUUGCAGCAAAGACCGUUGGUAGAUUACUAAGGACAAACACUUGUUUGGCUCAUUGGAGAAUGGUCCUAAAUAGUAAACAAUGGGCGAAACAGACCAAUGGAAUUAUGCCUGCCUUGGAGCUUAGCUAUGACUUUCUUCCUUUCCAUUUGCAAAGGUGGUUUUCCUAUUCUGCAUUAUUUCCUGAAGACUACCAUUUCAGAAGGCAUGAGCUCAUCAGCCUAUGGACCGGACUAGAUAUUUUGACACCUUCUAAUCAAAACCCAACUUUUGAAGGCACAGGUCUGAGCAUUUUAAAUGACUUAGUCAUCCAUGGAUUUUUCAGAGAAUAUAAAACUGGUGGUGAUAUAUGGUAUGUUAUGCAUGACCUACUGCAUGAGUUGGCAUUGAAGGUUGCAUCACAUGAUUGUCUUAGUUUUCGCCUCCCUGAUGUUGGAUCGGUAGAAAUUAAGCCAUCCACCCGGCACUUGUCUAUAAGCAUAGAGAACUUGGGUGAAUAUAAUGGUAAAAACUUAAAGAGGGAAUUGGAAAAACUGAAGACAAGAUUGAAGGUUGAACAUUUGCAAACACUGAUGUUAUUUGGAGCAACGGAUGAAGGUCUUGCUAAGCUAUUUGGUGAUUUUCUCGGGGAAGCAAAUGCUCUCCGUGUUCUUUAUUUGCCCCACCUGAAGUAUCCGGUCGAGGCCAUGGUACAUAACUUUUCAGGACUUAUCCACCUACGAUUCCUAUGUCUAGGGUCAUUGGAGAGUGUGGUGCCCAUUAUUUUACCACUUAACAUCUCUAAAUUUUAUCAUCUAAGGGUUCUAGAUCUUAAGUCAUGGUCUGGCAGUAGCAGGGGCGGAGCCAGCCCAGUGGGCCGCCCCGGGCCCUCUUCAUAUACUGUAGCGGAUAUGUGGACAGUAAAUCGCUACAGUAUAAGAAGAAAUUGGGCCUCACGCCGCAGGCCUGGGCCCUGGGGGUCUGGGGGCCUGUAUCCGCCACUGAGCAGUGGUGGUUUUCCUGAAGGCAUGAGUAACCUUGCAAAAUUGUGCCAUUAUUAUACCCCAAGAGAUGAUGAGCUUCAUUCUAAUAUUUGUAAUGUGGGAAAACUUGAACUCUUGGAAAAGUUAAAGGUAUUUCGAAUCAAUAAAAAAAGUGAAGGAUUUGAACCAUAUCAACUAGAGCAUUUGACCAAGCUGUGGGAGCUUGGCAUCUACAACCUUGAGAAAAUACAUACGGAAGAUGAGGCAGCUCAAGUCAAACUGAAUGAGAAAAAGUGCUUGAGAAGGUUAACAUUGGACUGGGAUCAUAGUGAGCAAUAUAGUGUUGAGCCUGGUGUGGAAGCAGUGGUUCUAGAGUGCCUUCGACCACAUGAAAAUCUUGAAGUGUUAUGCAUUAGAGGGCACAGAGGCCCCACUUGUCCAACAUGGCUGGGUGAUGAGCUUGUUGUUGAGACUCUGCAAUCUCUUUGUCUUGAUGAUGUUUCUUGGAAGGUUUUCCCUUCUUUACGGAACAUGGGGGAUCUUUGUGAACUUGAGAUACAAGAUUGUCCAGGAUUCUCAUCAGUGAUUUCCAUGUCCUGGAUUGAAAAUCUGCGUCGUGUCACGGUAAAACAUGUAAAGUUACUAGAAAAUUUUGAGUACUCAAAAUCAUCAGAUGGAGUAGAAUUGAAUAUUGAGGGAAAGCAUGGUCUGCAUGGCUUAGAUCAAGCGUUAUUUUUUGAUAAAGAAACGAGUCUUGAGAAGCUGACACUCAAGAGGUGCCCGCCUCUGGAGUUGAAGCACCUUCUGAUGCUAACCUCGUUGAAGACAUUGAUGGUAUGGAAUUCAGUAAGUCUGGUUGGACCACUAGGAGGUCAGGGUAAUGUGGAAUGGCAGCUCCCUGUUGAGCACAUCAAGAUCAGCAACUUGAAUGGUAAUAGUGGGAAGGAAUUGACAGAGCUCUUAUCCCACCUCCCAAAGCUCUCCAAUUUGGAUAUACAACAUUGUAAAAACAUAAAACAGCUAGUAGUGGGGGUGGAUGUGAAACAAACAACACCAGCAACACCAAAGCUGGUCUUCCCAGCUCAUCUCUUUGACUCAUUACGGGAAUUGGAGUUCUAUGGCUGCCUAGAGGUGAUCCUGGUGGACCCGCGAACUCUUCUUCCUGAAGGAGUAUGGCUCCAAGCCUUGCGGUCCCUCCAGAGAUUAACAAUACAGGAGUGCCCAAAGUUUCUAUCCGCCUUCUCAUUUUCCGGUCACCUUUUUCCUUCCUCCCUGGAGUUCCUGAAGCUUACGGGUGUUAAAGGCAUGGGGACACUAGAGCCCCUCUCAAACCUCUCCUCCCUUACCAGAUUAGAAUUGUAUUGGUGCGGAGAGGAUCUAAAAUGUCAGGGCUUGCAGUCUCUCCUUACCACCAGUGGUCAGCUCAGCAAAUUAAGAGUCAUAGGUAGCCCUGGUUCCUUUGCUAAUUGGGAUCCCAAUCCCAGACGGGAGUUGGAGGAUGUUGAAGGAGGACAAGAGCAACCUGUUUCAUCGAGACUGCAGGAGCUCUACACGUAUGUUGACGAGGGACUCCUUUCUGCACCUGUCUGCAGCUUGCUCUCUUCCUCCCUCACCAUGCUGGAACUUCAAGGGGGUGGGUGUGAAGGGAUGGAGCGCUUCAGCAAGGAGCAGGAGGACGCCCUUCAGCUCCUCUCCUCCCUCCAGCAACUUCACUUUUCGUGUUUCCAGAAGCUUCAGCAACUUCCUGCAGGCCUGCACAACCUUACCAGCCUCAAGGAAUUAAUGAUCUACGACUGUCCAGCUAUCUCGUCAUUGCCCAAGGAUGGCCUCCCCAAAUCACUGCAAAAGUUAUGGGUCAGCAACUGCGGCAACCAGGAGCUAAUACAGCAGUGCAGGGGUUUGAAGGACAUCAUGCAUGACAUUCUUAUAAACACAAUUGCCACAUGCAUGACAUGAGGUCCUUGUGGCUGCCGCUGUAUCAUAUCAAUUUGGUGUUCUUGUGCUUCUGAUGCCUUUCUGCUACUUUGCUAUUCGCACCACUUCUGUUUAUAUUUGUUCCAAACUCAUGAAGACUUGAUAUGGUGUAUCUGGAAAGUUUAGUUUUGAUGUUCAAAAGGUCAUCAUGGCAUAAUUAUGAAAAAAAACUCGGUUUUCAGUGUUCUGCCACCAAUAAGGUUUGCAUUUCUGUAUCCAGUCUACAUUCUACCGAUACAAGGUAUUCUGCAUUUUUCAUACUCCCUCCAUUCCCUUAUACAAGGCCAGUAUCAAAAAUACAUUUUGCAUCAAACAAGGCCACCAACAGUAAUCGAGGCAAAAAUUAAUGAUGUUUCCUCAUACUACCAACUUUUUAGUACUUACACGCAUGUAGUCAUAUUGACACUCAGCUACUUCCUUCCCAUUCAUUCGCUGCAUGCUUAUGGCGUAUUAAUGACCCCGGUUAGCGAGAAGAAAGAUUGACUUGCAAAGCCAUUAAAUUUUAUCUUGGUACCUGUAAUAUGAGUUUGUGGCCUUGUAUAAGGGAAUGGAGGGAGUACCUGUUUUUGUUUAAGGAAAUUUAAUGGUGUAGAGGAUCUUCACAAGAACAUCCUGCGUACCAUAGCAGUGCAUGUGUGGAGCCAAUUUUUGAUGAAACGGUGAAUUUUGCAUUGCAGGGCAAGUGCAAUUUUGAAAUUUCAUAACUCCAUUAAGUCAUCAAGAUGCAUAAUUACAACCCCAGGACAGUGUCUUUUAACAAGACUUCAGAAGAUCUCUUCUUUCCAACUGCUACAUGUCACCAACAGACUGGCAGAGCUGCACAGAAAAAAUGAACAUGUGGUACUGCUGAUAAAUUCCCGUCUCACUCUAUUAUCUUGGGGAAAAUUGCAAUGCAGUCUAGGGUAUCAUUUAUGCAUAUGAACUUAUGAAGUGAUACAGCAUGCGCCACUGCAACUUGGAAUUUGUCCCUAAUUGGUCUUCAGAUGGAUCCCCCCUCUGAAGUAUCUCAUGUAUAUGCAGCAGCAUGGAUAUCACUGGAAGAAAAAGAUGGAGGUGGGGAAACCGGGAAAGGUGUCGUUGAAGGGUUACCGCACCACUUGCUAGAAACAAUUGCAGAAAUGCUUGUUGGCUCCCAUCACUAAACUGAUGUACCUAAAAUACUCAGAGGUUCAUUCAUGCGAGAAUCUACUGCCAAGGAUGGUGACGAAUUGACUUGCGACCAGUCCGCGGAAGAUCAGAAGCCAUACUAAGGAAGAAGCAGAAACACGGCCUAGGCUGGCUUGUGAUGUCGCUCGGAAUUAAAUUGCUGUGAUGAGAACAACCGGACUGCAUCAUCUUCUGAAGAGAGCGACACUUGUCAUGCUGUUAACUGGAGAAAUCGACACCCAGCAGUCGAUUGGCGCCAAACCGGGCGGGCACAACGUCGACCGUCAGAUCUUCAUCUAACAGCAACUCACAGCUUCGUUCAGAGUUACGACAGACCACCUCCCUUGGUGGCGCAUCCAGCGGCUCUGAAGACUGGAGCGGCCCCAGUUUGAACUAUUACCUUUAUUACUGCCUCCUUGUUCACCUGCUUUACUUCAUUAGCAUCGUUAAAGUUAAGAUUACCUUUCACUGGUUGUAAUUAAUGGGUAUAAAACCAACCCGGGAUCUAUCUGAGAGCCAUCUUCCUGUACUUGGGGUAAAUGCGUGUCCUUAAUCUGCUAUAUAUUUAUCUUGCGGUCA